rnacentral:rRNA from 1 species
UACGUAGGGUGCAAGCGUUGUCCGGAAUUAUUGGGCGUAAAGAGCUCGUAGGCGGUUUGUCGCGUCUGCUGUGAAAACGCGAGGCUCAACCUCGCGCCUGCAGCGGGUACGGGCAGACUAGAGUGCGGUAGGGGAGAUUGGAAUUCCUGGUGUAGCGGUGGAAUGCGCAGAUAUCAGGAGGAACACCGAUGGCGAAGGCAGAUCUCUGGGCCGUAACUGACGCUGAGGAGCGAAAGCGUGGGGAGCGAACAGG